rnacentral:rRNA from 1 species
GAUGAACGCUAGCGGCAGGCCUAACACAUGCAAGUCGAGGGGCAUCGCGGUGCAGCAAUGCACUGGCGGCGACCGGCGUACGGGUGCGUAACGCGUAUGCAACCUGCCCCGCACCGGGGGAUAGCCCGCCGAAAGGCGGAUUAAUACCCCAUGGCCCCGGGGGCCCGCAUGGGCAUCCGGGUAAAGCCUUGGCGGUGCGGGAUGGGCAUGCGUGCCAUUAGCUGGCUGGUGGGGUAACGGCCCACCAGGGCAACGAUGGCUAGGGGGUCUGAGAGGAUGGUCCCCCACACUGGUACUGAGACACGGACCAGACUCCUACGGGAGGCAGCAGUGAGGAAUAUUGGUCAAUGGGCGGGAGCCUGAACCAGCCAUGCCGCGUGCGGGAUGAAGGCCCUACGGGUUGUAAACCGCUUUUCCCCGGGAAGAAUAAGCCCCCCGCGGGGGUGAGUGCCGGUACCGGGGGAAUAAGGAUCGGCUAACUCCGUG